GCAACGGCAGAAAAUAAGUCUGAAAAAGCUCACAAACACGUUGUUUUUGCUCUAAAACGUCUGAGCCUAGGGGUAUUUUAGUCUUUUUAGCACACGCGGACAUGCACGGCAAAGAAAGCUUCACUAAAGCAAGAAAAUCCCGCCCAGCGAUUGACUAGCGACCAGUCCAGGGUGUACCCCGCCCCUCUCCUCAAAACAGCUGGGAUAGGCUCCAGCAUGCCCUCGUGACCCUAGUGAGGACAAAGCGGCAUAGAAGAUCUUCUCAGUCCCCUAAA